rnacentral:rRNA from 1 species
GCUAGUAAUCGCAGAUCAGAAUGCUGCGGUGAAUACGUUCCCGGGUCUUGUACACACCGCCCGUCACACCAUGGGAGCCAGGAAUGCCCGAAGCCAGUGGCCUAACCGCAAGGGAGGAGCUGUCGAAGGCAGGCCCGGUAACUGGGGUGAAGUCGUAACAAGGUAGC